rnacentral:rRNA from 1 species
UACGAAGGUGGCAAGCGUUACUCGGAAUUACUAGGCGUAAAGGGCAGGUAGGUGGUUCGGUAAGUCUGUUGUGUAAGCUCCCGGCUUAACUGGGAGAGGUCAACGGAAACUACCGGACUUGAGUAUGGGAGAGGGUUCUGGAAUUCCCGGUGUAGCGGUGAAAUGCGCAGAUAUCGGGAGGAACACCAAUGGCGAAGGCAGGUCUCUGGGCCACUACUGACGCUGAGAAGCGAAAGCAUGGGGAGCGAACAGG